rnacentral:rRNA from 1 species
CGACCUGAGCUCAGGCAAGACUACGGACUGAACUUAAGCAUAUCAAUAAGUCCAGGAAAAGAAACUAACCAGGAUGCGCUUAGUAACGGCGAGCGAACCGCGCAAAGCCCAACUUGAAAAUCUCCCUUGGAGAAUUGUAGUCUAGAGAUGCAUCCUCUGCGGCAG